UACGUAGGGUCCGAGCGUUGUCCGGAGUUACUGGGCGUAAAGCGCGCGCAGGUGGCGCAGUUGGCCCGGCGUGAAAGCCCCCGGCUUAACCGGGGAGGGUCGUCGGGGACCGCUGCGCUUGAGGGCGGCAGGGGCUGGUGGAAUGCCCGGUGUAGUGGUGAAAUGCGUAGAGAUCGGGCAGAACACCCGUGGCGAAGGCGGCCAGCUGGGCCGUUCCUGACACUGAGGCGCGAAGGCGUGGGGAGCGAACGGG
rnacentral:rRNA from 1 species